ensembl:snoRNA
UUACAACAGAGUUCACCUAGUGAGUGUUGACACUUUGGGUCUGAGUGA